rnacentral:rRNA from 1 species
GUGCGGAAUUUUAGAUAAUGGAGGGAACUCUGAUCUAGCGACGCCGCGUGCAGGAAGAAGGUCUUCGGAUUGUAAACUGCUGUGGUAAGGGAAAAAUGCUAUGUAGAGUGGAAAGCUACAUAGAGGGAUGGUACCUUACUAGAAAGCCCCGGCUAACUACGUG